UGGGGAAUAUUGCACAAUGGGCGCAAGCCUGAUGCAGCCAUGCCGCGUGUGUGAAGAAGGCCUUCGGGUUGUAAAGCACUUUCAGCGGGGAGGAAGGUGGUAAGGUUAAUAACCUUAUCAAUUGACGUUACCGACAGAAGAAGCACCGGCUAACUCCGUGCCAGCAGCCGCGGUAAUACGGAGGGUGCAAGCGUUAAUCGGAAUUACUGGGCGUAAAGCGCACGCAGGCGGUUGAUUGAGUCAGAUGUGAAAUCCCCGGGCUUAACCCGGGAAUUGCAUCUGAUACUGGUCAGCUAUAGUCUUGGAGAGGGGGGUAGAAUUCCAUGUGUAGCGGUGAAAUGCGUAGAGAUGUGGAGGAAUACCGGUGGCGAAGGCGGCCCCCUGGACAAAGACUGACGCUCAGGUGCGAAAGCGUGGGGAGCAAACAGG
rnacentral:rRNA from 1 species